AUUGAACGCUGGCGGCAUGCUUUGCGCAUGCAAGUCGAACGGUAACAGGCCGCAAGGUGCUGACGAGUGGCGAACGGGUGAGUAAUGCAUCGGAACGUGCCCAGUCGUGGGGGAUAACUACUCGAAAGAGUAGCUAAUACCGCAUACGAUCUAUGGAUGAAAGCGGGGGACCGUAAGGCCUCGCGCGAUUGGAGCGGCCGAUGUCAGAUUAGGUAGUUAGUGGGGUAAAGGCUCACCAAGCCAACGAUCUGUAGCUGGUCUGAGAGGACGACCAGCCACACUGGGACUGAGACACGGCCCAGACUCCUACGGGAGGCAGCAGUGGGGAAUUUUGGACAAUGGGCGCAAGCCUGAUCCAGCAAUGCCGCGUGCAGGAAGAAGGCCUUCGGGUUGUAAACUGCUUUUGUACGGAACGAAACGGCUCUGGUUAAUACCCGGGGCUAAUGACGGUACCGUAAGAAUAAGCACCGGCUAACUACGUG
rnacentral:rRNA from 1 species